rnacentral:tRNA from 1 species
GCCGAAGUGGCGGAACUGGCAGACGCGCUGUGUUCAGGGCGCAGUGUCCGUGAGGGCGUGCGGGUUCAAAUCCCGCCUUCGGCACCA